AACUAUGGCCACACUACCCUGAUGCCGGAAGCUAAGUGGGGUCAGGCCCAUCCACGACUUGAUGGGAGACUGCCUGGGAAUACCGGAAUUGAUGGGUU
ensembl:rRNA 5S_rRNA 5S ribosomal RNA